rnacentral:tRNA from 1 species
GGCCCCUUAGCUCAGAUGGUCAGAGCAGGCGACUCAUAAUCGCUUGGUCGCUGGUUCAAAUCCAGCAGGGGCCA